rfam:Dacryopinax sp. DJM-731 SS1 chromosome Tnknown DACRYscaffold_8, whole genome shotgun sequence.
UCCGAGAUGGUGUAAUGGCUAACAUUAGUGCCUCUCACGCACUGGCUCGGGGUUCGAUUCCCCGUCUCGGAA